GUUUGAUCAUGGCUCAGAAUCAACGCUGGCGGCGUGCCUAAUACAUGCAAGUCGAACGCGAAAGUCCCGCAAGGGGCAAGUAGAGUGGCAAACGGGUGAGUAACGCGUGGGCGACCUACCUUCGAGUGGGGGAUAACCUUCCGAAAGGAGGGCUAAUACCGCAUGACAUCCCGUGUUUGGAUACACGGACAUCAAAGUCGGGGAUCGCAAGACCUGACGCUUGGAGAGGGGCCUGCGUCCGAUUAGCUAGUUGGUGGGGUAACGGCCCACCAAGGCUUCGAUCGGUAUCCGGCCUGAGAGGGCGGACGGACACACUGGGACUGAGACACGGUCCAGACUCCUACGGGAGGCAGCAGUAGGGAAUUGUUCGCAAUGGGCGCAAGCCUGACGACGCAACGCCGCGUGGAGGAUGAAGACCUUCGGGUCGUAAACUCCUUUCGACCGAGAUGAAUACCCACCGACCUAAUACGUUGGUGGGCUGACAGUAUCGAGGGAAGAAGCCCCGGCUAACUCCGUGCCAGCAGCCGCGGUAAUACGGGGGGGGCAAGCGUUGUUCGGAAUUACUGGGCGUAAAGGGUUCGUAGGUGGCCUGCUAAGUCACACGUGAAAUCCCUCAGCUUAACUGGGGAACUGCGUGUGAGACUGGCGGGCUUGAGUGCAGGAGAGGAACGCGGAAUUCCAGGUGUAGCGGUGAAAUGCGUAGAUAUCUGGAGGAACACCGGUGGCGAAGGCGGCGUUCUGGACUGCUACUGACACUGAGGAACGAAAGCCAGGGGAGCAAACGGGAUUAGAUACCCCGGUAGUCCUAGCUGUAAACGGUGCAAACUUGAUGUGGGAGGAUUUUCCCCUCCCGUGUCGAAGCUAACGCGAUAAGUUCGCC
rnacentral:rRNA from 1 species